rnacentral:rRNA from 1 species
GAUGAACGCUGGCGGCGUGCCUAAUACAUGCAAGUCGAGCGAACAGACGAGGAGCUUGCUCCUCUGACGUUAGCGGCGGACGGGUGAGUAACACGUGGAUAACCUACCUAUAAGACUGGGGUAACUUCGGGAAACCGGCGCUAAUACCGGAUAAUAUAUUGAACCGAAUGGUUCAAUAGUGAAAGACGGUUUUGCUGUCACUUAUAGAUGGAUCCGCGCCGCAUUAGCUAGUUGGUAAGGUAACGGCUUACCAAGGCAACGAUGCGUAGCCGACCUGAGAGGGAGGACCACCAGCCGGGAAGAGAGACAGGGUCCAGACUCUGGCGGGGGGAAGCAGUAGAGAAUCUUACGGAAGGGGCGAGAGCGGGACGGUGCAACGCCGGGGGAGGGAUGAAGGUCUUCGGAUCGGAAAACGCUGUAAGUAGUGAAGAAGAAAUGUGUAAUUAACUAUGCACAUCAUGACGGUACCGGAACAGAAAGCCACGGCUAACUACGUG